AUUAAUUCGAUGCAACGCGAAGAACCUUACCUGGGUUUGACAUGCACCAGACGCGUCCAGAGAUGGGCGUUCCCUUGUGGCUGGUGUGCAGGUGGUGCAUGGCUGUCGUCAGCUCGUGUCGUGAGAUGUUGGGUUAAGUCCCGCAACGAGCGCAACCCUUGUCCUAUGUUGCCAGCGGGUGAUGCCGGGGACUCAUGGGAGACUGCCGGGGUCAACUCGGAGGAAGGUGGGGAUGACGUCAAGUCAUCAUGCCCCUUAUGUCCAGGGCUUCACACAUGCUACAAUGGCCGGUACAGAGGGCUGCGAAGCCGUGAGGUGGAGCGAAUCUCGUAAAGCCGGUCUCAGUUCGGAUCGGGGUCUGCAACUCGACCCCGUGAAGUCGGAGUCGCUAGUAGUCGCAGAUCAGCAACGCUG
rnacentral:rRNA from 1 species